rnacentral:piRNA from 1 species
UAGUCUCAGUGAACUAGGAACUUUCCAG